rfam:Lentisphaerae bacterium GWF2_38_69 gwf2_scaffold_2058, whole genome shotgun sequence.
UCUGUAGCGAUGCAGAAUCAGAAGCAAGCAGCUGGCAAAAAGCUGGUUUGACGAACAAGAAUCGGAUGAAAUGGUGUGUUAAUUUCGGAGGAGAAGGCAGAAUUAUAUUUCAGUAAGUAUGUGAACAGAGACUCUUUUCAUGCUUUGAUUUUAGCUUAAAAUAGUAUUGC